UACGGAGGAUGCAGGCGUUAUCCGGAUUUAUUGGGUUUAAAGGGUGCGCAGGCGGAUUAUUAAGUCAGCGGUGAAAUCCUACAGCUUAACUGUAGAACUGCCGUUGAUACUGAUAGUCUUGAGUAUAGUUGAGGUAGGCGGAAUGUGUCAUGUAGCGGUGAAAUGCUUAGAUAUGACACAGAACACCGAUUGCGAAGGCAGCUUACUAAACUAUAACUGACGCUGAGGCACGAAAGCGUGGGGAGCGAACAGG
rnacentral:rRNA from 1 species